GCCCAUUCCUGCCGGGUGGGCACAUUUUUGUCCUUGACUGCAAAUAAUGAAGUUUCUGGUGCUUUUCCUUUCCCUGUUGGCUGCCCCGGGAUGUGUCCUGUCCCAAGUGCAGCUGGUCCAGUCCGGUCCAGGCGUGGUGAAGCCCGGAGAGACCCUCGCACUGACCUGCUCUAUCACCGGUGAUUCAGUCACUAACAGCUACUGGGAAUGGGUCCGACAGGCUCCCGGGAAAGGGCUGGAGUGGAUGGGACAGAUCGACUGGUACAGCUCCAACUGGCGCACAUACUACGGCCCGUCUUUCCAGAGCCGCGCAACUCUCAGUGCAGAUUCCUCCAAGAACCAGUUCUCGCUGCAGCUCCGCUCGCUGACAGCUGCAGACACCGGCACCUAUUACUGCGCCAGACACACAGUGACUCAGAGCAGAGCAGGGACUGGCACAAAAAGGGGAAGCGGAUUCUGA